GGCGGCAGGCCUAACACAUGCAAGUCGAGCGGUAGCAGGUCUAGUUUACUGGAUGCUGACGAGCGGCGGACGGGUGAGUAAUGCAUGGGAAUUUGCCUAGUUGAGGGGGAUACCGUUUGGAAACGGACGUUAAUCCCGCAUACGCCCUGUGGGGGAAAGGUGGCACUUUAGGGUGCUGUCGCGAUUAGAUAAGCCCAUGUAAGAUUAGCUAGUUGGUGGGGUAAAGGCUCACCAAGGCGACGAUCUUUAGCUGGUUUGAGAGGAUGAACAGCCACACUGGGACUGAGACACGGCCCAGACUCUUACGGGAGGCAGCAGUGGGGGAUAUUGCACAAUGGGGGGAACCCUGAUGCAGCCAUGCCGCGUGUGUGAAGAAGGCCUUCGGGUUGUAAAGCACUUUCGGUAUUGAGAAAGGUGCGUUGUUUAAGAGAUGACGUAUUUGAUGUUAGAUACAGAAGCAGCACCGGCAAACUCCGUGCCAGCAGCCGCGGUAAU
rnacentral:rRNA from 1 species